rnacentral:rRNA from 1 species
ACACGGCAACCGAGACACGGUCCAGAGUCCUACGGGAGGCAGCAGUGGGGAAUAUUGGACAAUGGGCGAAAGCCUGAUCCAGCCAUGCCGCGUGUGUGAAGAAGGUCUUCGGAUUGUAAAGCACUUUAAGUUGGGAGGAAGGGCAGUUACUUAAUACGUGAUUGUUGUUGACGUUACCGACAGAAUAAGCCGGUGUACCG